rnacentral:lncRNA from 1 species
AAAAAGCUUUCUUUCAAUCGUGUUGUCUACAAACGGGAUGUACCGAAACAAAUCAGAACUACCAUAUCUCUUGGUUUCUUAUUAAAAAAAAGUCUCCAAAUGAAAUAUCUGUCCAGGCUGCGUCCAAAAAAAAUUCCUUUCAAUCGUGCAGAUGAGAGAAACUCACGCAUCCAUAUAAGACCUUCCCCACGACCUGAAAGGAUCAUUGUCCUCUAGAUUUUAGAGUACAACUUCUGCAUCAUCUUCCUCCCACAUCGUCUUCCUCCAGCGACCAAAACUUCGACUCCAGAAUUAUCUUCCUCCAGCAAACACAAGAUAGUUCUGUCGAGCAAAUGGGAAUUGUCUUCCUCCAGCGGCCACAAGAUAGUUCCGUCAAGCAAACGGUCUACAACAAGUAAGUUCCAUCUGCACGAAUUAUAGAUCAUACCUAUUAAUGGAUCAAUAAUGGUUCAAUUAUACUCUAGGCAGUCCUGAUCUAAAACAUUUGCCAUUACCUCCGAAAUACUAUACAAGUCCAGAAUCAUGCUACAACUAUAACAUGUCCAAGUGGGAUUACUUGCUGUGAUAUAGAGAAGCAUAGAUGGUGCAUAAGGUGUUGUCCAUAUUAUAGAUUAUACCUAUUAUUAUAGAUCAGAUCUAUUAAUGGAUCAAUAAUACGUAAUUCAUACUGUAGGUAGUGCUAAUAUAAAAAGGUUUCACAUGUUAGCUCACAAGUUACAUCACGUACAAACAGAUACAGAGAAACAUACAUAGAUGGUUUCCAUAUUUGAUCAACCUCAGAUGUCAUAGUGGGCUUCUGUCGUCAUGGCAUCAGCUCCAUCUGAAACAUAAAUUAAGACGAAUUGUCAAUAAAAUUGUGUUGAUUCAUCUACUUUUAUUUCAUAGUCUUCUACAUAAGGUUAAUGCCAUGGCUGUUAUACUAUAGAAGCUUACAGAAAUAAAUGGGAUUGCUUGCAUGUCAUUAUAUUACUUACUUUACUAAUCAACACUCAGAUGUCAUAGUGGGCUUCUGUCGUCAUGGCAUCAGCUCCAUCUGAAACAUAAAUUAAGACGAAUUGUCAAUAAAAUUGUGUUGAUUCAUCUACUUUUAUUUCAUAGUCUUCUACAUAAGGUUAAUGCCAUGGCUGUUAUACUAUAGAAGCUUACAGAAAUAAAUGGGAUUGCUUGCAUGUCAUUAUAUUACUUACUUUACUAAUCAACAUUCUGUUCUUAUAUUUAAAGGGCCUCAAAGAUUAUGGCAUAUACAACGUUGAAUGCAUUGACUACACGAAACGAGACAUGGACAAUCAAAGUCAAAGUUUUAAGACUUUGGGACGUGAUUAACUUAUCAACUAAUGAGCUCAUUAGCACUGAUAUGAUUUUAUUGGACAAAAAGGUGCAAGUAUUACAUAUAUAAUGUCUCUUCAAUUUAUCCUUUCCAAAGUUUGCUGAUCUUUUCUUUCUAUGUAGGGCCAUGCGAUCCAUGCUUCUAUUGGGAGCAAACUGGUCAAUAAAUUUAAAUCAAAAAUUAAAGAGGACUUCAUAUACAUAAUUAAGACCUUCAAAGUCUCGGAGUAUGAAAAAUACCGACCAUUGAAGAACAAUCUCAAAAUCAGUUUUGUUUAUGAUACAACAGUGAAGGAAGUGGAUGAAGGAAAAUCCAAGUUUUUGGAUCACAACUUCGAUUGGAUUGGAUUGCUUACUGCAAUGAAACCAAUAGAGCAAGUACAAAAAAAUAAAGGGACGGGCAUGGCGCAAACUUCAAACAUCCGUGAGAUUGAAAUCCUUUUACUAGAGUAAGUGAUUAUAUUACUAUAGAUUUUUUAAAAUUGCAUAGAUGAUUUUAUAUCACUUUUUCAUGAUUAAAUCCAUGCAGAGAUGAAACGAUCCGGAUCACGCUAUGGGGGAUAUUUUAGCAAAUACGGUGAAUGAAAGUCUUUUGCACAAACAAAUAAUAGUGAUUGUCACGUCAAAUUUGGUCAGAAAAUUCAGUGUUGAGAACUACAAUCUUUUUGUGAAAACUUAAAUCCAAAUUACUGACAAUUUGUUAC